AGCAGCCGCGGUAAUUCCAGCUCCAAUAGCGUAUAUUAAAGUUGUUGCAGUUAAAAAGCUCGUAGUUGAAUUUCGGGAUCAAUACGUCGGUCGUGCUUCGGUACGUACUGGCGUCAUUGGUUUCUCCCUUCUGACGAACCAUGAUGUCAUUAACUUGGUGUCAUGGGAAAUCAGGACUGUUACUUUGAAAAAAUUAGAGUGUUUAAAGCAGGCUCACGCUUGAAUACAUUAGCAUGGAAUAAUGAAAUAGGACGUUCGAUCCUAUUUUGUUGGUUUCUAGGAUCAACGUAAUGAUUAAUAGGGAUAGUUGGGGGCAUUAGUAUUCAAUUGUCAGAGGUGAAAUUCUUGGAUUUAUUGAAGACUAACUACUGCGAAAGCAUUUGCCAAGGAUGUUUUCAUUAAUCAAGAACGAAAGUUAGGGGAUCGAAGACGAUCAGAUAGCCGUCGUAGUCUUAACCAUAAACUAUGCCGACUAGGGAUCGGAUGAUGU
rnacentral:rRNA from 1 species